GCUCAUUCACUAGCUGUAUUAGCUAUGAAGCUAGCUAAUAAGGAGGCUCUGUAGCUGUGUAGCUGGCUACUAACUUCAUGCUGAAGUAAGAGAAAAGGAUGGAGACAAAAACACAAGAGUCUGAAAGUAGUUCCUAAAUGCAGCUAUACGAAGAUGACGAGUUUUUCACAACAUCCUUUUUUAAUUCAGCUGUUACAUUCGGCAGAUGAAGGAGACAAUCUGUACCAUGUGUCAUUAGUGUGACAGUUUUCCUCCACAUUAUUCCUGUCGUCAGCAUGAGAGCGGAGGACAUGGAGCGGAGGACAGAGGGAUGCGCGGGUUCACAGGGCCCUGCUGGAGAGCUUUACAUGCCGAAACCGACAUUUCCUUACUACUCACUCACACCUGAGCCUUUCUGCUGUUUUUCACUUAAGGGAAUAAGAGGAAUUGAUGUAGUGACAGACAGUUCUGAUUAAAGAUCAGCAAUAACACUAAUAAUCAUAAAAACAAUAACAAAAUAGUUAA